rnacentral:rRNA from 1 species
AGCCAUUGAUCGGUACGGGUUGUGAGAGCAAGAGCCCGGAGAUGGAUUCUGAGACACGAAUCCAGGCCCUACGGGGCGCAGCAGGCGCGAAAACUUUACAAUGCGAGAAAUCGUGAUAAGGGAACCCCGAGUGCCCGUAAAUUCGGGCUGUCCGCCAGUGUAAAUAACUGGUGAAGAAAGGGCCGGGCAAGACCGGUGCCAGCCGCCGCGGUAAUACCGGCGGCUCGAGUGGUGGCCACUAUUACUGGGCUUAAAGCGUCCGUAGCUGGAUUGUUAAGUCUCUUGGGAAAUCCACCGGCUCAACCGAUGGGCGUUCAGGAGAAACUGGCAAUCUAGGGACCGGGAGAGGUGAGAGGUACUCCAGGGGUAGGAGUGAAAUCCUGUAAUCCUUGGGGGACCACCUGUGGCGAAGGCGUCUCACUAGAACGGCUCCGACAGUGAGGGACGAAAGCUGGGGGAGCAAACCGGAUUAGAUACCCGGGUAGUCCCAGCUGUAAACGAUGCGCGUUAGGUGUAUCGGUGACCACGAGUCAUCGAGGUGCCGAAGGGAAACCGUGAAACGU